CGCGCCAAUCGUUGCGCCAAAGAAGGGACGAAGAUCACUGCCGUGGUGCACAGGAUCGAGGCGGCAAGCCACACUCCCGAAACGCCUUGGCAAAGGUCCCCCAAGCCACGGCUGUCCAUCGCUAAAAUGCGACGACGGAACUAAACAUCCUAUAGCGCCGCGAUGCUGGAUGUCCACUUGGAACUGGGAGCAUCGCUCGCCGGCGCGCCUAGCAAUUGCGGCGUGCUCCUAUCAGUCAUCGAACAACGUUCCAAGAAACCACGGCGGCGUAU
rnacentral:misc_RNA from 1 species